UACGUAGGGUGCAAGCGUUGUCCGGAAUUAUUGGGCGUAAAGAGCUCGUAGGCGGUUUGUUGCGUCGGCUGUGAAAUCCCGAGGCUCAACCUCGGGUCUGCAGUCGAUACGAGCAAACUAGAGUGUUGCAGGGGAGACUGGAAUUCCUGGUGUAGCGGUGAAAUGCGCAGAUAUCAGGAGGAACACCGGUGGCGAAGGCGGGUCUCUGGACAGUUCCUG
rnacentral:rRNA from 1 species